CCAGACUCCUACGGGAGGCAGCAGUGGGGAAUAUUGCACAAUGGGGGGAACCCUGAUGCAGCGACGCCGCGUGAGUGAAGAAGUAUUUCGGUAUGUAAAGCUCUAUCAGCAGGGAAGAAAAUGACGGUACCUGACUAAGAAGCCCCGGCUAACUACGUGCCAGCAGCCGCGGUAAUACGUAGGGGGCAAGCGUUAUCCGGAUUUACUGGGUGUAAAGGGAGCGUAGACGGCAGAGCAAGUCUGAAGUGAAAGCCCGCGGCCCAACUGCGGGACUGCUCUUGGAACUGCGUGGCUAGAGUGCAGGAGGGGCAGGCGGAAUUCCUGGUGUAGCGGUGAAAUGCGUAGAUAUCAGGAGGAACACCGGUGGCGAAGGCGGCCUGCUGGACUGCAACUGACGUUGAGGCCCGAAAGCGUGGGGAGCAAACAGGAUUAGAUACCCUAGUA
rnacentral:rRNA from 1 species